CCUACGGGAGGCAGCAGUGAGGAAUAUUGGUCAAUGGACGAGAGUCUGAACCAGCCAAGUAGCGUGCAGGAUGACUGCCCUACGGGUUGUAAACUUCUUUUAUAUGGGAAUAAAAUGUUCCACGUGUGGGAUUUUGUAUGUACCAUAUGAAUAAGGAUCGGCUAACUCGGUGCCAGCAGCCGCGGUAAUACGGAGGAUCCGAGCGUUAUCCGGAUUUUUUUGGUUUAAGGGGAGCGUAGGUGGAUUGUUAAGUCAGUUGUGAAAGUUUGCGGCUCAACCGUAAAAUUGCAGUUGAAACUGGCAGUCUUGAGUACAGAAGAGGAGGGCGGAAUUCGUGGUGUAGCGGUGAAAUGCUUAGAUAUCACGAAGAACUCCGAUUGCGAAGGCAGCUCACGGGACUGCAACUGACACUGAGGCUCGAAAGUGUGGGUAUCAAACAGGAUUAGAUACCCUUGUAGUC
rnacentral:rRNA from 1 species